AGAAAAGUUUCGUCGAACUCCCUGUACUCUCUUUGAUGUCUCCUCGACUUCAGUUUUUCGCUUGCUGUGGCCAACAAGGCUGUGAACCUCACUGAAGGCUUCCCCUAUAUCAGUCGAUGUGGAAAUAGCCCACCUCAGAGCUGCAUCUUCAGCCAAGUGCUCAACUUGGGAGCUGCUUUGGCCGCCUGGACCUGCAUUCUCCGUUACCACCAGCUUCGGGACUGGGGGGUCGGAAAGUGGCCUAACCAGCUGAUCCUGUGGACGGGGCUCCUCUGCGCCUUGGGCACCUCCAUAGUGGGCAAUUUUCAGUAUGAUGUCUGAUUCCAAACCUCUCCCGCCAAAAGGCAGUGGAAGCCGCAGGGUGUUUAGACAAGAGGCUGCCUCCAACUUAACAAAAAUUCCCCAUGACAUUUGCAUAGCAAAUCAUUCACUUAUCAUGUAUUCCUGUGUUCAUUAACCUUUUUUCUUUAAGUUUUUCCUUUAAUUAUUAUAUCCCCCCCGCAGAAGCUUUUUUUUUUUUUUUUUUUUUCCCGCUGCUCCCUGCCUCAUGUGGGAUCUUAGUUCCGGAUCAGGGAUCCAACCCGAGCACCGUGCGGUGGAAGCCCGGAGUCCUCACCAAUGGACUGCCAGGGAAGUCCCCAGAAGACUUUUUUAGACAUUUUCUCCUAAUCAUCCUUUCCCUCCAUGAAGAUUUUAUUUUUUCCCUAAUAUUUAUUUAUUUGGUUGCGUGGGGUCUUAGUUGCGGCAGGGAGACUCCUUAGUUGCAGCACGCGGGCUCCUUAGUUGUGGGCUGUGGCCUCCUUAGUCGUGGCUUGCCGGCUCCUUAGCUGUGGCAUGCAAACUCUUUGUGGCGGCAUGCAUGUGGGAUCUAGUUCCCUGACCAGGAACUGAACCCAGGCCCUUUGCAUU